rnacentral:rRNA from 1 species
UACGUAGGGUGCGAGCGUUAAUCGGAAUUACUGGGCGUAAAGCGUGCGCAGGCGGUUCGUUGUGUCGGUGGUGAAAGCCCCGGGCUCAACCUGGGAAUGGCCAUGGAAACUGGCGAACUGGAGUGUGGCAGAGGGGGGUGGAAUUCCGCGUGUAGCAGUGAAAUGCGUAGAUAUGUGGAGGAACACCAAUGGCGAAGGCAGCCCCCUGGGUCAAAACUGACGCUCAUGCACGAAAGCGUGGGGAGCAAACAGG